AUUGAACGCUGGCGGCAGGCCUAACACAUGCAAGUCGAGCGGAUGAAGGGAGCUUGCUCCUGGAUUCAGCGGCGGACGGGUGAGUAAUGCCUAGGAAUCUGCCUGGUAGUGGGGGAUAACGUCCGGAAACGGGCGCUAAUACCGCCUACGUCCUGAGGGAGCAAGUGGGGGAUCUUCGGACCUCACGCUCUCAGAUGAGCCUAGGUCGGAUUAGCUAGUUGGUGGGGUAAAGGCCUACCAAGGCGACGAUCCGUAACUGGUCUGAGAGGAUGAUCAGUCACACUGGAACUGAGACACGGUCCAGACGCCUAAGGUAGGCAGCAGUGGGGAAUAUUGGACAAUGGGCGAAAGCCUGAUCCAGCCAUGCCGCGUGUGUGAAGAAGGUCUUCGGAUUGUAAAGCACUUUAAGUUGGGAGAAAGGGCAGUAAGUUAAUACCUUGCUGUAGUGACGUUACCAACAGAAUAAGCACCGGCUAACUUCGUG
rnacentral:rRNA from 1 species